rnacentral:rRNA from 1 species
UACGUAGGGUCCGCGCGUUGUCCGGAGUUACUGGGCGUAAAGCGCGCGCAGGUGGUCCAUUAAGCCCGGCGUGAAAGCCCCCGGCUCAACCGGGGAGGGUCGUCGGGGACUGGUGGACUUGAGGGCGGCAGGGGCUGGUGGAAUCCCCGGUGUAGUGGUGAAAUGCGUAGAGAUCGGGGGGAACACCCGUGGCGAAGGCGGCCAGCUGGGCCGACCCUGACACUGAGGCGCGAAGGCGUGGGGAGCGAACGGG